AACUUUUUGAAUCGUUAUAUCUCAGAAACGGUGGCUCGUAAGAAAAAAAAAGUAUUGAUACAUUUUUUAUAGAUAAUUUUAUGAUCUACAAUUUUUGUCUGAAGUACUUUUAUGAUAAAACUUACCGUUUUGCUGAAAAUCGCGAAAAACUCAUUUUUUUGACCUUUGACCUUGAAUUAAUUUUUUUCCUUACAGGGGAAUGAUGGGGAACUUCUAGACAUUGUUUAUAAUUAUGUUUUGAACAAUUUUACUGAAAUUCAGCUUGUUGGGACUUUAUGUAACUUCACUCUCAUUUUUUGGUCUAAAUUGACCGGAGUACUGGAGUAAUAUACACUGCACA